AUUGAACGCUGGCGGCAGGCCUAACACAUGCAAGUCGAGCGAGCGGCGGACGGGUGAGUAAUGUAUGGGGACUGCCCGAUAGAGGGGGAUAACUACUGGAAACGGGGGAUAAUACCGCAUACUAUCGGAUAACCCAUAUGGGAUUAGCUAGUAGGUUGGGUAAAGGUGUACCUAGGCGACGAUGGCUAGCUGGUUUGAGAGGAUGAUCAGCCAACCUGGGACUGUGAGACGGCGAAGACUCCUAGGGAGUCAGCGGUGGAGCAUAUUGCACAAUGGGCGCAAGCCUGAUGCAUCCAUGCCGCGUGUAUGAGUAAGGCCUUAGGGUUGUAAAGUACUUACAGCGGGGAGGCGUUACCCGCAGAAGAAGCACCGGCUAACUACGUGCCAGCAGCCGCGGUAAUAC
rnacentral:rRNA from 1 species